GAUGAACGCUGGCGGCGUGCCUAAUACAUGCAAGUCGAGCGAACAGACGAGGAGCUUGCUCCUCUGACGUUAGCGGCGGACGGGUGAGUAACACGUGGAUAACCUACCUAUAAGACUGGGAUAACUUCGGGAAACCGGAGCUAAUACCGGAUAAUAUAUUGAACCGCAUGGUUCAAUAGUGAAAGACGGUUUUGCUGUCACUUAUAGAUGGAUCCGCGCCGCAUUAGCUAGUUGGUAAGGUAACGGCUUACCAAGGCAACGAUGCGUAGCCGACCUGAGAGGGUGGUCGGCCACACGGGAAGUGAGACUGGGCCCAGACUCCGGCGGGGGGAAACGGUCGGGAAUCUUACGCGAUGGAGGAGAGCGUGACGGUACAACGCGGCGUGAGUGAUGAAGGUGUUCGGAUGGGUGAGCGAUGUUAUUAGGAGAGAAGAAAAGUGUAAGCGGCUGGGAACGUAUUGACGGUACCAAAAGAAGAAGCCCCGGCUAACUACGUG
rnacentral:rRNA from 1 species